rnacentral:rRNA from 1 species
CCUACGGGGGGCAGCAGUGGGGAAUAUUGCACAAUGGGCGCAAGCCUGAUGCAGCCAUGCCGCGUGUAUGAAGAAGGCCUUCGGGUUGUAAAGUACUUUCAGUCGUGAGGAAGGUGUUAAGGUUAAUAACCUUAGCAAUUGACGUUAGCGACAGAAGAAGCACCGGCUAACUCCGUGCCAGCAGCCGCGGUAAUACGGAGGGUGCGAGCGUUAAUCGGAAUUACUUGGCGUAAAGGGCACGCAGGUGGUUAAUUAAGAUGGAUGUGAAAUCCCCGGGCGUAACCUGGGAAUGGCAUUCAAGACUGGUUAGCUAGAGUCUUGUAGGGGGGAAUAGGAUUCCAUGUGUAGCGGUGAAAGGCGUAGAGAUGUGGAGGAGUACCGGUGGCGAAGGCGGCCCGCUGAACAAAGACUGACGCUCAAGUGCGAAAGCGUGAGGAGCAAACAGGAUUAGAUACACCGGUAGUG